UACGUAGGGUGCAAGCGUUGUCCGGAAUUAUUGGGCGUAAAGAGCUCGUAGGCGGUCUGUCGCGUCUGCUGUGAAAAACCUAGGGCUUAACUCUGGGCGUGCAGUGGGUACGGGCAGGCUAGAGUGCGGUAGGGGGAGACUGGAAUUCCUGGUGUAGCGGUGAAAUGCGCAGAUAUCAGGAGGAACACCGGUGGCGAAGGCGGGUCUCUGGGGCCGAAACUGACGCUGAGGAGCGAAAGCGUGGGUAGCAAACAGG
rnacentral:rRNA from 1 species